UGUUUUUAAAAUUCAGCCUACGUGAGCUUAUCCAACCCUAGGUUUUCUAACAUCAGGUCUGAUUGUGCCGCCUCCCAGUCUCUCGACUCUCUCUUCCUCAGUUCCUCAUCUCAAGCAGCCAUAACAUCUGAAAUAUUGCAAAUCUCCAUCACUCAUCAUAAGGAUACAUCUCUCCAUCAACUGAUUUUGAAGACAACCCUCUCAUUCUCAACUCUCUUUCUACCGGAAUUAUAUUUCAGAUCUAACAAUCUAGCCAUGCCUCCUCAAUCAUCAGGUGUAUUUCUUCGGAAUACAGAGAAAGAAUGGGGAAUGGGUAGAGUAGGGAAAAAAAGGUGCACCCCUUUUUCGAAGGGAGAGAACAAUCCACGUAAAAUAACUGAGCUGCAGCGGAGUGACAAAGGUCUUCCCUCGAACUGCUCUGUAAAUAAACACUGAUAUUGCAGAAGCGGGGAAGUCACGUAAUAAAAUGGAGGUGCAAAUGUGCAAAGGCUACAAGGGGUGAUACUUCAUGCUUCACUUGCAAAGGCUACAAGGGUCCUUUCUUACUGCUAUGCUUCCAUGCUUCACUUCCUGAUGGAGUAGGUCGUACCUCUCAUUACUUGGGAAUAUGAGUUGCCACCGACAAGUUUGUAUUAUCUAUUCCAACACUGAAAGUGCUCUUAGAAUGAUUUAUAUAAUUCGAUCUGUAAUACUUAAAAAUCUCUUGGCUGCUUUACUUGUCAACACUAAAAGUGCUCUUAGAAUGAUUUAUAUUAUUCGAUCUGUAAUA